UGGGGAAUAUUGCACAAUGGGCGCAAGCCUGAUGCAGCCAUGCCGCGUGUGUGAAGAAGGCCUUCGGGUUGUAAAGCACUUUCAGCGGGGAGGAAGGCGUUAAGGUUAAUAACCUUGGCGAUUGACGUUACCCGCAGAAGAAGCACCGGCUAACUCCGUGCCAGCAGCCGCGGUAAUACGGAGGGUGCAAGCGUUAAUCGGAAUUACUGGGCGUAGAGCGCACGCAGGCGGUCUGUCAAGUCGGAUGUGAAAUCCCCGGGCUCAACCUGGGAACUGCAUUCGAAACUGGCAGGCUAGAGUCUUGUAGAGGGGGGUAGAAUUCCAGGUGUAGCGGUGAAAUGCGUAGAGAUCUGGAGGAAUACCGGUGGCGAAGGCGGCCCCCUGGACAAAGACUGACGCUCAGGUGCGAAAGCGUGGGGAGCAAACAGG
rnacentral:rRNA from 1 species